AUUGAACGCUGGCGGCAUGCCUUACACAUGCAAGUCGAACGGUAACGGGCCUUCGGGUGCCGACGAGUGGCGAACGGGGGAGUAAUACAUCGGAACGUGCCCGAUCGUGGGGGAUAACGAGGCGAAAGCUUUGCUAAUACCGCAUACGAUCUACGGAUGAAAGCAGGGGACCGCAAGGCCUUGCGCGGACGGAGCGGCCGAUGGCAGAUUAGGUAGUUGGUGGGAUAAAAGCUUACCAAGCCGACGAUCUGUAGCUGGUCUGAGAGGAUGAGCAGCCACACUGGGACUGAGACACGGCCCAGACUCCUACGGGAGGCAGCAGUGGGGAAUUUUGGACAAUGGGCGCAAGCCUGAUCCAGCCAUGCCGCGUGCAGGAUGAAGGCCUUCGGGUUGUAAACUGCUUUUGUACGGAACGAAAAGCCUUCUUUUAAUACAGGAGGGUCAUGACGGUACCGUAAGAAUAAGCACCGGCUAACUACGUG
rnacentral:rRNA from 1 species